GACUGUCCUGAAGGUUUUUCUGUGUGCUGAAGUUUCACCCAAAGGGGACAAGAUGAAGAGACAGCUUGAAUAAUGGUGCAACCUGAAAAAAAUAUUCCACAAGCUUCUACAAUUUAAAAUUUUGUAUAAUAGUGGGCCACACUAGCCAUGUACGACAAUAUCCUGCCUGGAGAAGUUUAGACACAGGAAACCCUUUGGAA